rnacentral:tRNA from 1 species
GCACCUGUUGUAUAGUGGUAAUAUACUGGCUUCCCAAGCCCGUGUCCCGGGUUCGAAUCCCGGCAGGUGCA